rnacentral:rRNA from 1 species
GGACUACAAGGGUUUCUAAUCCUGUUUGCUCCCCUUGCUUUCGCGCCUUAGCGUCAGGUAUAAGCUAGAAAAUCGCCUUCGCCACCGGUAUUCUUCCACAUAUCUACGCAUUUCACCGCUACACGUGGAAUUCCAUUUUCUCCGCCUACCCUCUAGAAUUACAGUUUCAAGUGCUGUUCCGGGGGUGAGCCCCGGGAUUUCACACCAGACUUACAAUCCCGCCUACGCGCCCUUUACGCCCAGUAAUUCCGAUUAAUGCUUGCACCCUCCGUAUUACCGCGGCUGCUGGCAC